rnacentral:lncRNA from 1 species
UAAACAACCUCUCUACCCACAAAGGUAGGGGUAAGGUCUGCGUACGUCCUACCCUCUCCUCUCCUGACUCCACUUGUGUGAUUACGCUGGGUAUGCUGUUGUCUCAUUUUUUGUGAAAUGAUUUCUUUGGUAAUGCAGCUUCUAGUCAAUCAGUUGGAGCCUCUGACCGAGCAACAGUUAGCUGGCAUUUACAACUUGCAGCAGUCAUCCCAUCAAGCAGAAGAUGCCCUUUCACAAGGUAUGGAGGCGUUGCAGCAAUCCUUGGCAGAGACAUUAGCUAACGGAUCUCCUGCUACUGAAGGGUCAUCAGGAGAUGUAGCUAAUUAUAUGGGUCAGAUGGCAAUGGCUAUGGGGAAAUUAGGGACUCUUGAAGGUUUUCUCCGUCAGGUAACUCUAUUUUUGCGGCUGCUUCCUUUUUUGUUUGUUUUAAUUGUUUACAAUAUAUAAGCUGCAAAUGCUCGUUCAGUUGUUUGAACAUGUGGAAGUCGGGGGCAAGCAAUUAUUGUUCUGGAGGUCUUUGUAACUGCAACCAGCAUGCAUUGCCCACAGAAUCUUCAGAAUGUCUUGUUUUUAUUGGUCUUUGGAAAAAAAAUGUCUGGAUACUUUGUCCUCUUUUAUGUCCUUUAAUGAGAUCAUAAAAUAACCGAAGGGUUAUGUUCUCCAACGUUCUUAAAUCAACAAUUGUCCUUCUGUCUCAUACUUGUAUCUCUCUUGUGAAUCAUAUGAUUCAAGACAGCCAGUCAAUGUUCAGAGAUUUCUGGUUUGUUAUAUUAGUUUUAUGUCGUCAGUGGAGGCAAAAUACGUGAAGCUAAACGUCGUUGCAUCUUUCUGGCUCUUUUAACAGGCGGACAACCUGCGUCAACAGACAUUGCAACAAAUGCAUCGCAUAUUGACAACCAGACAAUCAGCCCGUGCUCUUCUUGCAAUAAGUGAAUACUUCUCACGUCUUCGAGCUCUCAGCUCUCUUUGGCUUGCCAGACCACGAGAGCAAUAAGUAUGACAUGCAUUGCGAUAUUCUACUGAAACUCAGAUAUACUACUUCGAUACACUGGCCGGUAUAUGAGAUCCAGCAAAGUUACUCUUAUGUAUAAAGUGGUAUUGUAUGUGCUUGUGGAAGUGCAGAAUUUGUUUUCUUUCUCCUUAGGUUUAUAGAAUGCCAAAAUUUUACUUUGUGACUUAGGAACCAAUAAUGUACCUGUGUUUUUAGUUUUACAAGGAAAAAGUUUAGGGAUUUUUAAGAAGUGUAAUAGAUAUUUUUAGAAAGUUUUAUGCUUAAUCAAAUUAUAGCUUGUGACUACAAAAGUCUCUCUUCUGAUAUGUUGGAAAAUAUACAAGCAUAUUUCUGCAAGAAAUGUUAGAAUCUGUUGUUAUUUAUCUUUCCAUAAAAUCUAAUUACACCAACAAAACUUGUGAAAAAAUAAGGAUGAAUAUGUUGAUAUAUUUCUUUUUCUUCAUCUUUAUACUCCUGUUUUCUGAAUUAUAAAUGUCAUACUCUACUUUUCAAGGUCAAGUUGAAUUAUUUUGAAUAAAAAUAUGUAGAUUACUAGAUUGUUUAAAAUACUGAUAUCUCAAAUUGUCGAUGUAGUGAUGAAGAACGAUCACUUUAUUCAUAUAUUACAUUCAUCAAUAUGAUAUAUUAUCGAAAUAUACAUAUAAGUUCCAUUCAAACAAUGAAUUUUGUCCCACAUCAUCAUCAAGGAGAAAGCAGAGCAAAAGUUGUAGUACAAGUAAUGGGCUGAGCAGACUGGAAAACAUACUUACCUGGACGGGGUCAAUGGGCGAUCAAUAAGACCCAUGGCCUAGGCUUGUGACCUUCAUUGCACUUUGGAGGGGUGCCUGCCUAAGGUCGGCCCAAGUGGUCGAGCCUACGUCAUAAUUUGUUGCUGUGGGGGCCUGCGUUCGCGCGGCCCCUGCCCAAUACUAAGAUCUAAAUUUGUUUGGUCAUAUAUUAAGCACGGCUCUAUAAUUGGGCUCCAAAAUAUAUUAAAUUGUUAUAUUAUAUAUUAAGUGUGAAUAAAAAAAUAUAGAAAGAUAAAUUUAGUUUGAAUAUGUCAUAAUACAUUCAUAAAGAAAAAAAUUGGUUAAACAAAAUAAAAUGCUAAUAAGAAUUGCUCAUGUUAUAAAGUGAGUGAAAAUGUUAUGAAAAGUUGUUCAUAUAUGAAUUUAUUUCAACUGUUCUCAAUAUAGCUGUUGUUUCUAUACUUGAUUUUGAUGCUUCCUGUAUGUAUUUUGUUCUUUGUUGGAUUCUGGAUAUGAGCUUGUGUAUUACCGUGUUUGAUGUCAUUAUCCAUCACAGAACUCGGCCUUUGUCAGUGGUCUUCUAAUGUGACAUAAUGCUGUUUUGUUCUCGAUGAUAACUCCUGUCUGUGAUGUCGUAAGACACUUAUUUUGCUUGUAUCCGUAUAUGGCUAUACAGAUAACACUCCUGUUAGCUGCUACUGUAUAUACAUUUUCACGUAAGCUUAUAGACUCUUGUUGAAGACGCAGAAUAAGGUUCUGAACAAAAUGAACCUGACAUAAGUCCGAAGAAGUUGAAAACCAACAUGACCUGAGGAAGCUGGUGAUGCUGCAGCGAUGCUAUAUAAGAAAUGUGUGUGUAUUAUUAUAUAUGUUAUCGAUAAUUCAUCCUUUCUUAGAGAAGUUGCCUUGUUUAAUCAAGACAACAACUCUUCAGUUGAUUGAGCCAUAUCCAUUUUCUUUGGAUAAUGUAAUACAAGAACAGAAAGAUUCUGAAGGAAAUCGCGCUGCUGUUAACAGUUGCCAUUUUGUUGGCUUGUUGCUCUAUAUGUUACUGAUUACUCGGAGAGUAACACCGUUUUCGACUAAUUCUCCCACAUCAGCAUCUGAGAGAGAAGUGGAGUAAAGACAGUAGUAUUAGUAAUGAGCUGAGCAGGCUGGAAAACUUACUUACCUGGACGGGGUCAAUGGGCGAUCAAUAAGACCUAUGGCCUAGGCUUGUGACCUCCAUUGCACUUUGGAGGGGUGCCUGCCUAAGGUCGGCCCAAGUGGUCGAGCCUACGUCAUAAUUUGUUGCUAUGGGGGCCUGCGUUCGCGCAGCCCCUGCCCAAAUCUACGCCCAAAAAUUUCUCUGGCCCAUCUGAAUUUUACAAAAACAUAUGUUUUCUCUGCCCCAUCUGUUUGAUAUAAGAUUAUUUCGACUACAUUAUCAAACACAACGAUAAGUGAUGUCUAUAUGACUAACAAUCUAAAAGUGCCAUAAGUCAAAGAAGGCGCGAUAAUGAGUCUUGGCUUCAAAGAUCAAAUAUUUGUCUUGAAAAUACAAACCAGCUACAGUACUAUUACAUUGGGCCUGAUCUUAUGGGUAGCGAAUACCUUUAGCAGAUGCAGGAGCUUGUGGAUGAUUCCAAGAGUUUGUGCUGCAUAUUCUUAAGUUUGGCAAAGGCC